UACGGGGGGGCAAGCGUUGUUCGGAAUUAUUGGGCGUAAAGGGUAGGUAGGUGGUCUUAUUUGUCUGAGGUGAAAGCCUUGAGCUUAACUCAAGAAGUGCCUCAGAAACGGUGAGACUAGAGUUCUGGAGAGGGUCGUGGAAUUCCCGGUGUAGCGGUGAAAUGCGUAGAGAUCGGGAGGAACAUCAGUGGCGAAAGCGACUUCCUGGACCAAUACUGACGCUCAUGUGCGAAAGCGUGGGGAGCAAACAGG
rnacentral:rRNA from 1 species